GAUGAACGCUGGCGGCGUGCCUAAUACAUGCAAGUCGAGCGAACGGACGAGAAGCUUGCUUCUCUGAUGUUAGCGGCGGACGUGUGAGUAACACGUGGAUAACCUACCUAUAAGACUGGGAUAACUUCGGGAAACCGGAGCUAAUACCGGAUAAUAUUUUGAACCGCAUGGUUCAAAAGUGAAAGACGGUCUUGCUGUCACUUAUAGAUGGAUCCGCGCUGCAUUAGCUAGUUGUUAAGGUAACGGCUUACCAAGGCAACGAUGCAUAGCCGACCUGAGAGGGUGAUCGGCCACACUGGAACUGAGACACGGUCCAGACUCCUACGGGAGGCAGCAGUAGGGAAUCUUACGCAAUGGGCGAAAGCCUGACGGAGCAACGCCGCGUGAGUGAUGAAGGUCUUCGGAUCGUAAAACUCUGUUAUUAGGGAAGAACAUAUGUGUAAGUAACUGUGCACAUCUUGACGGUACCUAAUCAGAAAGCAACGGCUAACUACGUG
rnacentral:rRNA from 1 species